rnacentral:rRNA from 1 species
AUUGAACGCUGGCGGCAGGCUUAACACAUGCAAGUCGAACGAUGAAGAUAUAGCUUGCUAUAUCGGAUUAGUGGCGGACGGGUGAGUAACACUUAGGAAUCUACCUUUUAGCGGGGGAUAGCUCGGGGAAACUCGAAUUAAUACCGCAUAAUUUCUACGGAAUAAAGAGGGCUUUUAGCUCUCACUAGAAGAUGAGCCUAAGUAAGAUUAGCUAGUUGGUGGGGUAAAAGCCUACCAAGGCGACGAUCUUUAGCUGGUCUGAGAGGAUGAUCAGCCACACUGGGACUGAGACACGGCCCAGACUCCUACGGGAGGCAGCAGUGGGGAAUAUUGGACAAUGGGGGCAACCCUGAUCCAGCCAUGCCGCGUGUGUGAAGAAGGCCUUUUGGUUGUAAAGCACUUUAAGCAGUGAAGAAGACCUAUUGGUUAAUACCCAAUAGCGAUGACAUUAACUGCAGAAUAAGCACCGGCUAACUCUGUGCCAGCAGCCGCGGUAAUACAGAGGGUGCAAGCGUUAAUCGGAAUUACUGGGCGUAAAGCGAGCGUAGGUGGUUAAAUAAGUCAGAUGUGAAAGCCCUGGGCUCAACCUAGGAACGGCAUCUGAAACUAUUUAACUAGAGUAGGUGAGAGGGAAGUAGGAUUUCAGGUGUAGCGGUGAAAUGCGUAGAGAUCUGAAGGAGUACCGAUGGCGAAGGCAGCUUCCUGGCAUCAUACUGACACUGAGGCUCGAAAGCGUGGGUAGCAAACAGG